AUUCUCCUGCUUCAGCCUCCCGAGUAGCUGGGAUUACAGGUUGGAGGGAAAGAGAUGCCACACUAGCUUUUAUGAACUAAUGUCCAAAUCAUACAACAUCGCUUCUGUCUUCUUCAGUUUAUUAUGAGCAAGUGAAGUCACUAAGUCCAGUACAUACUCAACAAGAGGGAAUACACAAGAGUGAGAAUACCAGGAGGAAGAAACCACUGGGAGUCAUCUUGAAGGCUGGCUAGCAAUCACAGUUUGUCCUCUGACUACCAAUUCUUCAUGCCAUUUUAACAUGCUAACCACACUCCCCUCCAUCCAAGGUCCCCAAAAGUUACAUUUUUAAAAAUAUCAUGUAGUUUUAAGUAUUACUAUCCUAUUGUCACAUCAGCUUUAAGUCCAGAAUUUUGUCUUCUAAAUUAGAUCAGAUGUAGAUGAGGCUUUCUGAGCGUAGUUCCUUAAAUUCAGCUCUUAGAGUACAAUUCUUCUUGAUCUGUAGACUUUUGAAGCUAAGGAGACAAGUUCUCCGCCCCCAUGCCUCGAAUACACAAUUGUGGGGCCAGCACAGGAUAAUCACUACAGACCUGUUCCGCUACCACUACCACUAGAUAGCCACUACCACUCCUGUUCAAAAAGGGGGAAAUUGGAAGUACAAACAAGUUACCAGUCCAUGGUAACUCUGCCAUCCAGUCUCAAGGUCUAGGACUCCAUGACUCCCAGUUCUACCAUCUGGGCUCCUGGUUAUACUUCCUUUUUCAUGAAAUGUACCAUGUGUUUGCUAAUGAGUCUUUUUCUCAGUCUGAUUCCUGCUUGUAGAAGUUUGGGGAGAGGGGCUCCAAAGGCCUUUCCCUUCCAGUCCAAUCUGCAAUGUUUGUGUCAAUAUAAUUAUCUUUAAAAAACUUAA